AUGCUCACUUUAGCAGCACAUAUACAAAAAUUGGAACAAUACAGAGAAGAUUAACAGGGCCCCUGAUGCACAAGGAUGACACACAAAUUCAUGAAGCAUUCCAUAUAUAG
rnacentral:snRNA from 1 species